rnacentral:rRNA from 1 species
GUGCCCGUACCGCAAACCGACACAGGUAGUCAAGAUGAGAAUUCUAAGGUGAGCGAGCGAACUCUCGUUAAGGAACUCGGCAAAAUGACCCCGUAACUUCGGGAGAAGGGGUGCUCUUUAGGGUGCAAGCCCAGAAGAGCCGCAGUGAAUAGGCCCAAGCGACUGUUUAUCAAAAACACAGGUCUCUGCUAAACCGUAAGGUGAUGUAUAGGGGCUGACGCCUGCCCGGUGCUGGAAGGUUAAGAGGAGUGGUUAGCUUCUGCGAAGCUACGAAUCGAAGCCCCAGUAAACGGCGGCCGUAACUAUAACGGUCCUAAGGUAGCGAAAUUCCUUGUCGGGUAAGUUCCGACCCGCACGAAAGGCGUAACGAUUUGGGCACUGUCUCAACGAGAGACUCGGUGAAAUCAUAGUACCUGUGAAGAUGCAGGUUACCCGCGACAGGACGGAAAGACCCCGUGGAGCUUUACUGUAGCCUGAUAUUGAAAUUCGGCACAGCUUGUACAGGAUAGGUAGGAGCCUUUGAAACGUGAGCGCUAGCUUACGUGGAGGCGUUGGUGGGAUACUACCCUAGCUGUGUUGGCUUUCUAACCCGCACCACUUAUCGUGGUGGGAGACAGUGUCAGGCGGGCAGUUUGACUGGGGCGGUCGCCUCCUAAAAGGUAACGGAGGCGCUCAAAGGUUCCCUCAGAAUGGUUGGAAAUCAUUCAUAGAGUGUAAAGGCAUAAGGGAGCUUGACUGCGAGACCUACAAGUCGAGCAGGGUCGAAAGACGGACUUAGUGAUCCGGUGGUUCCGCAUGGAAGGGCCAUCGCUCAACGGAUAAAAGCUACCCCGGGGAUAACAGGCUUAUCUCCCCCAAGAGUUCACAUCGACGGGGAGGUUUGGCACCUCGAUGUCGGCUCAUCGCAUCCUGGGGCUGUAGUCGGUCCCAAGGGUUGGGCUGUUCGCCCAUUAAAGCGGUACGCGAGCUGGGUUCAGAACGUCGUGAGACAGUUCGGUCCCUAUCCGUCGUGGGCGUAGGAAAUUUGAGAGGAGCUGUCCUUAGUACGAGAGGACCGGGAUGGACAUACCUCUGGUGUACCAGUUGUCGUGCCAACGGCAUAGCUGGGUAGCUAUGUAUGGACGGGAUAAGUGCUGAAAGCAUCUAAGCAUGAAGCCCCCCUCAAGAUGAGAUUUCCCAACUUCGGUUAUAAGAUCCCUCAGAGAUGAUGAGGUUAAUAGGUUCGAGGUGGAAGCGUGGUGACACGUGGAGCUGACGAAUACUAAUCGAUCGAAGACUUAAUCAA